CCGAAUGGGGAAACCCACUGCAUUCAGUGCGGUAUCCUUGUCUGAAUACAUAGGACAAGAGAAGCGAACCCGGAGAACUGAACCAUCUAAGUACCCGGAGGAAAAGAAAUCAACCGAGAUUCCGCAAGUAGUGGCGAGCGAACGCGGAGGAGCCUGUAUACGAUAGCCGUCGGGAUAGAAGAAAGAAUUGGAAACUUCUGCCAUAGUGGGUGAUAGCCCCGUAUUCGAAAUUCCGGCGGUGGUACUAGGUAUACGACAAGUAGGGCGGGACACGAGAAAUCCUGUCUGAAGAUGGGGGGACCAUCCUCCAAGGCUAAAUACUCAUCAUCGACCGAUAGUGAACCAGUACCGUGAGGGAAAGGCGAAAAGAACCCCGGGAGGGGAGUGAAAUAGAACCUGAAACCUGAUGCAUACAAACAGUGGGAGCGGAUUUAUUCCGUGACUGCGUACCUUUUGUAUAAUGGGUCAACGACUUACAUUCAGUAGCGAGCUUAACCGGAUAGGGGAGGCGCAGGGAAACCGAGUCUUAAUAGGGCGAUUGAGUUGCUGGGUGUAGACCCGAAACCGAGUGAUCUAUCCAUGGCCAGGUUGAAGGUGCCGUAACAGGUACUGGAGGACCGAACCCACGCAUGUUGCAAAAUGCGGGGAUGAGCUGUGGAUAGGGGUGAAAGGCUAAACAAACUCGGAGAUAGCUGGUUCUCCCCGAAAACUAUUUAGGUAGUGCCUCGAGCUAGACACUGAUGGGGGUAAAGCACUGUUAUGGCUAGGGGGUCAUUGCGACUUACCAACCCAUGGCAAACUAAGAAUACCAUCAAGUGGUUCCUCGGGAGACAGACAUCGGGUGCUAACGUCCGGUGUCAAGAGGGAAACAACCCAGACCGCCAGCUAAGGUCCCAAAUGACAGAUUAAGUGGUAAACGAAGUGGGAAGGCCCAGACAGCCAGGAUGUUGGCUUAGAAGCAGCCAUCAUUUAAAGAAAGCGUAAUAGCUCACUGGUCGAGUCGUCCUGCGCGGAAGAUGUAACGGGGCUCAAAUCUGUAACCGAAGCUGCGGAUGUACUUUUAGUGCAUGGUAGGGGAGCGUUCUGUAGGCCUGCGAAGGUGUCUCGUAAGGGAUGCUGGAGGUAUCAGAAGUGCGAAUGUUGACAUGAGUAGCGAUAAAGCGGGUGAAAAGCCCGCUCGCCGAAAGCCCAAGGUUUCCUACGCAACGUUCAUCGGCGUAGGGUGAGUCGGCCCCUAAGGCGAGGCAGAAAUGCGUAGUCGAUGGGAAACGGGUUAAUAUUCCCGUACUUUGAUUCAAUGCGAUGUGGGGACGGAGAAGGUUAGGUUAGCAAACUGUUGGAAUAGUUUGUUUAAGCCGGUAGGUGGAAGACUUAGGCAAAUCCGGGUCUUCAUAACACCGAGAAGUGACGACGAGUGUCUACGGACACGAAGUAACCGAUACCACGCUUCCAGGAAAAGCCACUAAGCUUCAGUUGGAUCAGAACCGUACCGCAAACCGACACAGGUGGGCAGGAUGAGAAUUCUAAGGCGCUUGAGAGAACUCGGGAGAAGGAACUCGGCAAAUUGAUACCGUAACUUCGGGAGAAGGUAUGCCCUCUAAUGUGAAAGACUUGCUCUGUAGGCAUAGGAGGGUCGCAGAGAAUCGGUGGCUGCGACUGUUUAUUAAAAACACAGCACUCUGCAAACACGAAAGUGGACGUAUAGGGUGUGACGCCUGCCCGGUGCUGGAAGGUUAAUUGAAGAUGUGAGAGCAUCGGAUCGAAGCCCCAGUAAACGGCGGCCGUAACUAUAACGGUCCUAAGGUAGCGAAAUUCCUUGUCGGGUAAGUUCCGACCCGCACGAAUGGCGUAACGAUGGCCACACUGUCUCCUCCCGAGACUCAGCGAAGUUGAAGUGGUUGUGAAGAUGCAAUCUACCCGCUGCUAGACGGAAAGACCCCGUGAACCUUUACUGUAGCUUUGCAUUGGACUUUGAAGUCACUUGUGUAGGAUAGGUGGGAGGCUUAGAAGCAGAGACGCCAGUCUCUGUGGAGCCGUCCUUGAAAUACCACCCUGGUGUCUUUGAGGUUCUAACCCAGACCCGUGAUCCGGGUCGGGGACCGUGCAUGGUAGGC
rnacentral:rRNA from 1 species